rnacentral:lncRNA from 1 species
CAAGUGCUCCCGCUGAUGAGGGAGUAACCGUCUGUGCUGGCUUUGACCCUGGUUGUGAAACUAAGCCACUUAGGAAAUCAUUGUUAUUUUGUACAGCGGGUGAAUCUGUGAUUUGGUGAGCACCCUGUGAAGAAACUGGAACAAGAGAACCCUGCCGUGAUAGGUUCCCAGAGUUAAACUGUGCAGGUUGGCUGUAGGGAUUAGCACCUGGCUGUGGCGGUUGGCUAUAAGGAUUAACACUCGGCUGCACAGAUUGGCUAUAUGCAUUAGAACUAGGUUGUCCAACUUGGUCAUAUGCGUUAGCACCAGGCAGUGCAGGUUGGCCGUACGGAUUAGCACUUGGCUGUGUCGGUUGGCUGAACAUAUUAGCACUUGAUUGUGCCUGUUGACCAUAGAUACCUGGCUGUGUUGUUUGGCUAUAAGCACUUCCCUGAUUUUGAGUUGACAUUUCUUGAGGAAGAAACUGGGAGUUUGUGCUAUUGGGUGCAGAGUAAGCAUUUGCGGAGAAUGAGUUCCCAAAGUCAAAAUUUGUGACUGUCUCGGAACUUGCAGAAGGUGGCUGAGCUACUUCAUUUUGGUUUGUAGCAGGCUGGAAAGUAGGCAUGGAAGUGGAAAUUUGUUGUACAGCUGGGGCAGAGUCAGUUGAAGCGACAGCUUUAAAAGGAUUAUCACCAAAUGGAUCAUCAAAACCCUGAAUCAGGAAUAUCCCCUAAAAAUUUUAGUAUGGCAACAAAUUCACCCUAAUAACUUUAUGCUACCCUUACUAUUGUACACAGGAUUUCAAUAAUUCAUUCAUUUUUAACUAUCAAUUUUUUUAGGUGCUUUUCAAAUAUACAACUUUAAAAGAAAAAAUGAAACACAUUAGGCAACAACAGAACAGCUUAUCCAAAUUCGUUGUACCAUAAAUAGACAUAUUGUAGACAGGGUUAAUGAAAUCCUUGUAUUGAUCCCUCAAUAUUAAAUGGACCAUGUUACCUGAUUUCCAAAAUUAGAUGCCGACUGAUUAGCAGCAAAGGUGGGCAUAGCACCAGAGUUUGCAGGGGCAUCAGCCUCAGUAGCAGGGAUUUCAGGUGUAACUGGCACAAUGGCAAAAGAAUCUGACAGAGCAUCCAACAAGUCUAUUUCAGCAUUGGUCGAAGCAGUGGGAACAGCAGUAGCAGGGACAGCUGUGGCAGUGGGAACAGCAG